UAAAUGUAUAGAUUAUUAUUGUUUAUUUAGAUAAAAUUAGUAUUGAUUGAGAAAAUAUUUUGUGGUUGGAGUAGUUUUAAUAGAAAGAAUAAAUUUGAUUAUAGUUAAUAAUUGGACUGUGAGGGAAUAUUUGAAUUAAAUAAAAGUAGAAUUUAUUUUUUGUACCUUGUGUAUCAGGGUUAAUUGAUAAGUGAAUAUAAAAUUUAUUGUUCUCGAUUUUUAAAGAGUUAAUUGAUUUAUAAAUAUACUGUCGUAUAAAUAUUUUUAAAAAUCAAUUAGGAGUGAAAUGUUAAACGAUUUGAAUGGUAUCUAGUUUUCCAAGAAAUAAAUUUAAUUUAUGUUCUGAUUUUAAUUAAAUUGAAUAAAUUUAAUUAUAAUUUAAGUUGGGAUUAUUUUUUAAAGGGAUAAGCUUUUGGGGAUAUAUAUAUAAUAUUAUUUAUGAGUAAAAUAGUGUGGAUUUAGUGUUAAUAAUUAUGUUGGAGGAUGUAAAAAUUUAAUUUUGGUUAUUUAGUUAUUUUUAAUGUAUUUAUUUUUUAUAUUGGAAUAUUGAAUUGAAUCUAUUAAUUUAAGGAUUAAUGGUGAAAUUAGUAAAUAGGUUAAGAUAAUUAUAAAGUAAGUGAUAAUUUAUAAUUAAGGAAUUCGGCAAAAUUUUACUUGCCUGUUUAACAAAAACAUCUUUUUUUGUUUAUAUCUGAAAUAUAACCUGCCCACUGAUAAUUAGGUUGAAGGGCUGCGGUAAAUUGACCGUGCAAAGGUAGCAUAAUCAUUAGUCUUUUAAUUGAUGGCUGGUAUGAAUGGUUGGACAAGGUAAAAGCUUUCUAAAUAUAAUUGGUUUUUGAAUUUAAGUUUUUGGUUAAAAUGCUAAGAUUUUUUUAUGGGACGAGAAGACCCUAUAGAGUUUAAUAUUAUAAAUUAUUUAAUUGGUUAGUGGAUUUAUUAAAUAAUUUAUGUUAUUUGGUUGGGGUGAUUAAGAAAUAAGCAGAACUUUUUGGUUUAUAAAAACAUAAAUUAAUGGGGAAUUGAUCCAGUAUAUUUACUGAUUAAAAGUUUAAAUUACCUUAGGGAUAACAGCGUAAUCUUAUUUGAGAGUUCUUAUUGAUAAAAAGGGUUGCGACCUCGAUGUUGAAUUAAGAUUAAUAUUUGGUGGAGUAGUUAAAUUGAUUAGGUCUGUUCGACCUUUAAAAUCUUACAUGAUUUGAGUUCAAACCGGCGUGAGCCAGGUUGGUUUCUAUCUAUAAUUUAGAAGGAUUUUUUAGUACGAAAGGACCAAGAAUUGGGAAUAAUUUUUUAAUUGAAUGUAUAACUAUAAUUUU
rnacentral:rRNA from 1 species